CCUACGGGGUGCAGCAGUGAGGAAUAUUGGUCAAUGGGCGAGAGUCUGAACCAGCCAAGUCGCGUGAAGGAUGACGGCCCUAUGGGUUGUAAACUUCUUUUAUAUGGGAGUAAAAUGUUCCACGUGUGGGAUUUUGUAUGUACCAUAUGGAUAAAGAUCGGCUAACUCCGUGCCAGCAGCCGCGGUAAUACGGAGGAUCCGAGCGUUAGUCGGAUUUAUUGGGGUUAAAGGGAGCGUAGGUGGAUUGUUAAGUCAGUUGUGAAAGUUUGCGGCUUAACCGUAAAAUUGCAGUUGAAACUGGCAGUCUUGAGUACAGUAGAGGUAGGCGGAAUGCGUGGUGUAGCGGUGAAAUGCGUAGAUAUCACGAAGAACUCCGAUUGCGAAGGCAGCUUACUGGACUGCAACUGACGCUGAGGCUCGAAAGUGUGGGUAUCAAACAGGAUUAGAUACCCUUGUAGUC
rnacentral:rRNA from 1 species